CGGGUGAGUAACGCGUGAGGAACCUGCCUCAAAGAGAGGGACAACAGUUGGAAACGACUGCUAAUACCGCAUAAGCCCACGGCUCGGCAUCGAGCAGAGGGAAAAGGAGCAAUCCGCUUUGAGAUGGCCUCGCGUCCGAUUAGCUAGUUGGUGAGGUAACGGCCCACCAAGGCGACGAUCGGUAGCCGGACUGAGAGGUUGAACGGCCACAUUGGGACUGAGACACGGUCCAA
rnacentral:rRNA from 1 species